rnacentral:rRNA from 1 species
AGAGUUUGAUCCUGGCUCAGAUUGAACGCUGGCGGUAUGCUUAACACAUGCAAGUCGAACGGAAACGAUACUAGCUUGCUAGUAGGCGUCGAGUGGCGGACGGGUGAGUAACGCGUAGGAAUCUACCUAAUAGUGGGGGAUAGCCCGGAGAAAUCCGGAUUAAUACCGCAUAAUCUCUAUGGAGUAAAGGGGCCCUCUUCUUGAAAGGUUUCGCUAUCAGAUGAGCCUGCGUAAGAUUAGCUAGUUGGUGAGGUAAAAGCUCACCAAGGCGACGAUCUUUAGCUGGUCUGAGAGGAUGAUCAGCCACACUGGGACUGAGACACGGCCCAGACUCCUACGGGAGGCAGCAGUGGGGAAUAUUGGACAAUGGGGGCAACCCUGAUCCAGCAAUACCGCGUGUGUGAAGAAGGCCUGAGGGUUGUAAAGCACUUUCAAUUGUGAAGAAAAGUUAAUAG